UAAUACCAGCACCCCGAGUGGUCGGGACGAUUAUUGGGCCUAAAGCAUCCGUAGCCGGUUUUACAAGUCCUCCGUUAAAUCCAACUGCUUAACAGAUGGGCCGCGGAGGAUACUAUAAGACUAGGAGGCAGGAGAGGCAAGCGGUACUCAGUGGGUAGGGGUAAAAUCCUCUGAUCCACUGAANACCACCAGUGGCGAAGGCGGCUUGCCAGAACGCGCUCGACGGUGAGGGAUGAAAGCUGGGGGAGCAAACCGGAUUAGAUACCCGGGUAGUCCCAGCUGUAAACGAUGCAGACUCGGUGAUGGGUUGGCUUUGCGCCAACCCAGUGCCGCAGGGAAGCCGUUAAGUCUGCCGCCUGGGGAGUACGGUCGCNAGACUGAAACUUAAAGGAAUUGGCGGGGGACACCACAAGGGGUGAACCUGCGGUUCAAUUGGAGUCNACGCCGGNAAUCUUACCNGGNGCGANAGCAGUGUGAAUGUCCAGCUGAANACUUUUACCAGACAAGCUGAGAGGAGGUGCAUGGCCGUCGCCAGCUCGUGCCGUGAGGUGUCCUGUUAAGUCAGGUAACGAGCAAGAUCCCUGCCUCUAGUUGCUACCACCGUUCUCAGGAACGGAGGGGCUAAUUAGAGGGACCGCCGCCGCUGAGGCGGAGGAAGGAGGGGGUACGGCAGGUCAGUAUGCCCCGAAACCCUCGGGCCACACGCGGGCUGCAAUGGUAAGGACAGCGGGUCCCGAUCCCGAAAGGGGGAGGCAAUCCCACAAACCCUACCUCAGUUAUGAUUGAGGGCUGAAACUCGCCCUCANGAAUAUGGAAUCCNUAGUAACCGCGUGUCAUCAUCGCGCGGUGAAUACGUCCCUGCUCCUUGCACACACCGCCCGUCGCUUCACCGAAGCUGGUUCUUGGCGAGGUGGCGCCUAAUUGGCGCUAUCGAACCUGGGGUCAGCAACGGGGGAG
rnacentral:rRNA from 1 species